rnacentral:rRNA from 1 species
UACAGAGGUCCCAAGCGUUGUUCGGAUUUAUUGGGCGUAAAGAGCUUGUAGGCGGUUUGUCGCGUCUGCCGUGAAAAUCCGGGGCUCAACCCCGGACUUGCGGUGGGUACGGGCAGACUAGAGUGUGGUAGGGGAGACUGGAAUUCCUGGUGUAGCGGUGAAAUGCGCAGAUAUCAGGAGGAACACCGAUGGCGAAGGCAGGUCUCUGGGCCACUACUGACGCUGAGAAGCGAAAGCGUGGGGAGCGAACAGG